CACGUAGGGUGCGAGCGUUGUCCGGAAUUAUUGGGCGUAAAGAGCUCGUAGGCGGUGUGUCGCGUCGGCCGUGAAAACCUGCAGCUUAACUGUGGGCGUGCGGUCGAUACGGGCAUCACUGGAGUUCGGCAGGGGAGACUGGAAUUCCUGGUGUAGCGGUGAAAUGCGCAGAUAUCAGGAGGAACACCGGUGGCGAAGGCGGGUCUCUGGGCCGGAACUGACGCUGAGGAGCGAAAGCGUGGGGGAGCGAACAGG
rnacentral:rRNA from 1 species